AGUGAGAAGAGCUUUCUGGCAUCCGUGCACAAAGAGUUAUCUUUUCCUAGUCAUCAGAAAAGAUGCUAAGGAGUCUUCAGCAAGACAGAAAAUAAGAGUACACACUGGAUUGUUCCCUGAGACAGUGAGUACAGGUUGGUUUGUGGAUGCUGCAUUCCCUUCCAAAGACGAGCGACCAAAGGGUGUGUGCAAAGGUCUGUAAACUUUUUAAACUUACACUCAUUGUACUGUGCACAGCAAACUUGCACAAGGCAUGCCCAGCUUUGCAUGCUGUCUGUCGGUUGCAGAGGGUGCUGUGAAUAAAAUCAGUUCACCCUGUUCCUUCCUUCUCAUGCAGUGUCAUGUUGUGCUAUUUCUAUAGCAGGAUAGAGGUUUUGCAUGAGAAUGUCAUAGAACAUUGUCCAAUCAGAGGACUGCAAAUACUGUGCUGCCAUUCCAACAGUGACUAUGCCACACACCACAAAAGGUCUAUGGAUCCUUACCUUCACCUUCAGGGGCAAUCUGGGAAGUAUUCUAAAUAGGGCUCUCUGUAGGCAACCUCCCCCUGUGUGCAGCUGAACCAUCUUCACACAGGCCCCCUAACCUUUUGAAGGAAGAAAUUUUCAAAUAGUGUUUUAGGGCCACUUACUGUCCCCUGUAGCUGAGUUGUAGGCCAAGGAUGGGUUUUUUAAGGAAAUAGUCACUGAUCAUGACCUCCUACCCAGCCAUCUUUCAAAGAGACCCUUUUUUGAGGAAGUAAGAGUAGAACGGUUUUCAUUUUUCAUUUUUCAGUUCAAGACAAUGGAAAACUAAAAGACUACACAUAUUUUGCGGAUAUAUGUUACUACUUGUCUAUGCGUUUCAAACCUUCAUGGGUCCCCAGAGUCUGCUUAGAGGUAAACACUCAUGAGAAACAAGCCAGCAUCAUGCGGGUAAAUGUUCAAUACUGGUCCCAAAGACACUUCUGAGAUCUUGAAAAACAUUUAAUAAAAGUGCAAUGGCAAAAUCUACAGUAUUUCUUGAAAACUCUCUGACUUCCCUGGUUAGAGUAUAACAGCAUCCCGACUUCCUACCCCCAUAAAAGUUACCUGAGGCACUAGGCCUUAAAGGGACAGGGCAUGGUUUACACACUUAGCUUUUCUGUAGUCUUUCCCUGGCCCUAAUCUGCUUUUGUCUGGGGAGUUAUCUCGACUUCUUCUCCAAUGUUUUAUCCUGAUUUAAAGGAAGAUCUCUUACUACUUUUCCAGUAGAUGAUUUAGGGAUCACUGGCAGCUAUUCCUGACAGAGCAAUAACAAGGCCUCCUGCCACCCCAUUUAAAUUAUCUGACCUGCUUGACUUUUUCAUUUUCUCUCCCUUUAGAGGGAAGUGAGGGGGACUUGAAUGGCCUGUGUCUUCAAAGUCUUGAGCUGUGGAAUGCAUCAAAGUGCCAGAAGCCACAGAACACCAGGGGAUGUCAACAAGGUGUCAGGGACUCCUGGGGAGGUGGACUGGGACCUAUCUACUUGUUAUCUCCUGGGAAGCAACCAGCUCAGAUGAGCAGAAAAUGGAUCUCCUUCUCCCAGGAGCUCAUUUAACUGAUUUUGAAAUAUGUCUGAUUCCAGCGUUAGGACAAACUUCAGCCUGUUGCUAACAGGGAGUUCUCUGUUGGGUUUUACUAGGGAACUGAUGGACAUGGAAGCUAAAGUCAGUACUAAAGAGGAAACCAACUUCCCAAGCAGUUGCUGGUAAGACAUGCUAGACAUUCCCUUAAUACAUUUUCAAAGGUAACUAAGAUGCACUCACACAUGCUGAAUUGUUAGUAUGGCAAGUAUAGAACAAACAUUUACCCAAAUAGUUCGAUAGGAGCAACAGGAAGUUUAAUUGGCUCUGAAAGCAAAAUGUUAACUAGAAAUAUAGAAUUAACAAUACGUAACUGAUGACCUUCACUGGAAAUACAAUAUGUAGUAUGUGUUCUAGCAAACAAAAAGGCAGAUUAUAUUUCAUUUGAAAAUAUAAAGAGAAAAACUAGAUCUUCUCUUUUUUAUAGUACCUUAAUAUCCAAGAAUGUCUAUCAUUAAUAUUUUGAUUUUAUUAUCCAAAAUGGUUUUCUUUUUUUAAAUUUUUUAUUAGGUAUUUUCCUCAUUUACAUUUCCAAUACUAUUCCAAAAGUCCCCCAU
rnacentral:lncRNA from 1 species